ACAGCGGCCACAACGUUGUGUCUUCAUAGCUGAGGACAGUGCUCUGGGCACUGCUGCUGGUACUGUUUUCCCCUGGGCCAGUGGGGAGCAAGGUGUGGUUCCUGAGUGAACAGUGUCUGCGAAGUAACAAUCAUCAUCUUGUUCCUGCCUUCUGCAAGAGUGAGCUGCAACAACAACCCUUUCUCCUUUCCUACCCGCAGUAACCAGAUAUCACUGGCAGCAAUAAAAAACACAGUAAAUAGAUAUCAUGUAUACAUAUACGUAGCUGAAAGUCACAGCUUGAAGCAGUGAUUGAGCACCUGGUGGGAAGGCAGGGCCAACCCAAGGAGCUCAGGUGCAUGCAAUGUACCUGAGUGGCCAGAAGAGAUGGAGCCAGGAUGCACCCUUUCCCAGACCUCAUUUAAGGGUUGGCAGCAAAGGCAAGUAGAUCUUGCUGCAGAACCCUGUCUACCUGAGGCCUUCUAAAGAUUUGCUCAGCAGUUCUGGGAAUCAAGUGCACUGCCACACAAAAUCGUCUUUGCAUACAUUUGGCUAAAUGGCAUUAUUCCUGGCUGUUCAAUGACUACAUACAGCACUUGGAUAUGAAAUUUGUAGCUCCAUUUCACAGAGCCUUCAGUGCAGCCACAGCAGGUGCAAGGAGGGUUGGAUGGAGCUGCAUGCAUCUUUCUUUGCUUGGGUUCAAGAAGAAAGGGAACAGAACCUUACUUGAGUUUUUGAAGCUCUUCAACAAGGCUGGAUUUUUGGCCAGGAGACAUCCUAGCAAAGACAGUUGCAUUCAGAAGAAUCUGCAGGACAGAGCAAGGAGCAGCUUUGAGGAUCAGAUUUCACCUAAAGUCAACUUCAUUCUGCUCUGACUUCUGUCUUGCCUUUCUGUGGCAGACCAGCAUCACCAUGUACAGCCUUGGAGCAAUAAGGUGUCCCAUGACAUUCCCUGUUGCAGCACAGAUGGUGCUGCUGGUGACAGUGGCAAUAAUGCUGCUCACAUCAAGGUUUUUCCAACAUGAAAUUCUGUCCAGAGAAAUCUCUCUCCCAGCAGCAGCUAUUCUGUGAGAGGUUGACAGGAGCUGAAGGCUGCUAAAUGCAGAUAUUUCAUGCUCCUUCUGCCACUGCUGAGCAGGAGACAUUGCUAGUUCUGGCAUUAGUAGGUGGGAAUGGAGCUGCUGUUUUUAAUUAAAGUAGAGGAGGUGACCACAGAGUCAUUCCACCAUGGCAUGGUCUUUGCACACCUCAGCCGCCCUGGUCACCUGAAGUCUCUCAGAUGCUGACAGCAAGCUGCUCGGUCUAACCACGAAAUGUGCUGAGAGGCUUCUGAGUUGUCAGAAAUGACAGCACUUCAGGUACUGACAGGUACUGACACCUUUCCCCAGCUGGAACAAUGCUGUCAUUUACAUAAAGCAGGGGCGGUGAGUAAGUGCUUUGUUUCCUCU